UACAGAGGGUGCGAGCGUUAAUCGGAAUUAUUGGGCGUAAAGCGUGCGUAGGUGGACAUUUAAGUCGGGUGUGAAAUCCCCGGGCUCAACCUGGGAACUGCACUCGAUACUGGAUGUCUCGAGUAUAGUAGAGGAAAGCGGAAUUCCCGGUGUAGCGGUGAAAUGCGUAGAUAUCGGGAGGAACAUCAAUGGCGAAGGCGGCUUUCUGGACUAAUACUGACACUGAGGCGCGAAAGCUAGGGGAGCAAACGGG
rnacentral:rRNA from 1 species